UACGUAGGGUGCAAGCGUUGUCCGGAAUUAUUGGGCGUAAAGAGCUUGUAGGCGGUUUGUCGCGUCUGCUGUGAAAUUUCGGGGCUCAACCCCGAACUUGCAGUGGGUACGGGCAGACUAGAGUGUGGUAGGGGCGACUGGAAUUCCUGGUGUAGCGGUGAAAUGCGCAGAUAUCAGGAGGAACACCGAUGGCGAAGGCAGGUCUCUGGGCCACUACUGACGCUGAGAAGCGAAAGCAUGGGGAGCGAACAGG
rnacentral:rRNA from 1 species